rnacentral:rRNA from 1 species
UACGGGGGGGGCAAGCGUUGUUCGGAAUUACUGGGCGUAAAGGGCUCGUAGGCGGCCAACUAAGUCGGACGCGAAAUCCCUCGGCCUAACCGAGGAACUGCGCCCGAUACUGCGAUGCUUGAGGACCAGAGGGGUGCAUGGAAUUUCCGGUGGAGCGGUGAAAUGCGUUGAUAUCGGAAGGAACUCCGGCGGCGAAAGCGAUGCACUGGCUGGUUUCUGACGCUGAGGUGCGAAAGCCAGGGGAGCAAACGGG